CUACGGGCGGCAGCAGUCGAGAAUCUUUUGCAAUGCCCGAAAGGGUGACAAUGCGACGCCGCGUGAGCGAUGAAGGCCUUAGGGUUGUAAAGCUCUGUCAGCUGGGACGAAUGCAAGAGUGCUAAUAACAUUUUUGUUUGACGGUACCAGCAGAGGAAGCCACGGCUAACUCCGUGCCAGCAGCCGCGGUAAUACGGAGGUGGCAAGCGUUGUGCGGAUUUACUGGGUGUAAAGGUCAUGUAGGCGUUUUAUUAAGUCGGGUGUGAAAUCCCACGGCUCAACCGUGGAACUGCACUCGAUACUGGUAGAAUUGAGUACGAGAGAGGUAAGCGGAAUUCCGGAAGUAAGGGUGAAAUCUGUAGAUAUCCGGAAGAACACCAUUAGCGAAGGCGGCUUACUGGCUCGAUACUGACGCUGAAAUGAGAAAGCUAGGGGAGCGAACAGGAUUAGAUACCCUUGUAGUC
rnacentral:rRNA from 1 species